rnacentral:lncRNA from 1 species
AGUUCAAAAUUGGGAGGUUAAAAAAAUGCAUCUUGCAAAAAAUGCACAAAAAAACUUCCAUAGCAUAAACAGGCUUCCAUACAUUUUUAAGUAUGGAUUAAGAACACACGUGUCAUUUAUAUUAUAUAGUGGAGUAAGUGUAAAUAUCAGUACAGUUUAGUUGAGUAUCGUCUGUCUCUCUGUCUGUCUGUCUGUCAGAGGAGCAGAGCUGUUUCAGGCCAGCAUUGUGAAGGCCGUGAGAGCUCGUCUGGAGGAGGAGAAGAGAUCCAUGGAGCAACUGAAGAGACAGAUGGAUCGUAUUAAGACGCGGCAGCAGAAGUUCAAGAGAGGAAAGGAGAAGAUGCUCAGCAUGGCUCAGGAGUCUGGAGACGAGCAGAAACUCGUCCAACCUGAUGACAACGUCGACGAUGAUGAUGGUACGAUGUAGAUCACGACAGUAAGAUAAAAUAGUGUGCUUUCAUAGAAGCAUCUCCAACAGAACAGUAAAAAGCCAAGUUUAGCACUCUCAUAUAAGCAUUGUGUACUGUAUGUAUUUAGCUGCCACCAGGAAAAGGUUUCAUUUCCAAUUUCGCUAAAGUCACUUCUGACAUGCUUUCAUUAACGUUCUAACAUUUCAUUUGCAGAGAAAAAGAAAAACAAGGUGCAAAAAAAGCAGUGGUGGAGGCCUUGGGUUGACCAUGCGUCCAGUAGGUUCCUCAUACCUUCCUCUGAUUUCACUGAUCCUUGUGUCCUUGACCAGAAGUCAGAAGGAUUCCCAUACUGCACUUGUGCUCCGUCAGACCUCCGAGACGACAAACACACCCUCCAGACCUUAGACUUUUCUACAUCUAUUUAAGGCCGUCUGUCUUAUGAUUGUACAUGCAGUGUUGACAGCAGUGGUAGAUGCUUUAAAGCAGUCAUUUCAUCAGGAAUCACAUUUUCCUUCAUCUUUUAAAGUGUAGAACUAAAUGAUGACUUUAAAUAGAAGUAUUCUAACACUUACAGAUGUAAAAAAUGACAUUGAUUUGGUGCCUUAAAUAGAUCUAUACAGCAGCCGGAGGAAAAGAUGAAUGUCUGGAUGGUUCUGGUUUGUUGUCAUGUGACCGUAUGAGCAGGUGAACGGAGCCGUACAGUAGAGAAUCACUCUGCUUUAUUAAAAUUCACUAGACACUCUGUUGUGGAAAAGAGAGAGAUUUCCCUCAUGACCAUAUAAUAAUCAGCUUGAGCUGCCUUGGUAUUAUAAGAAUAUUUCAUCCAUAAAUGAAAAUGCUUUAAAAUGUUUUAAGGAGUUAUUUAGCAGAAUGUUCAUGGUGCUUCCUUUUUUUUUUUUUUUGUGGUGCAAUGGAAUCUAAUUGUUUUUUCAUUAUUUAAUUUAUAUAUAUGUUAUUAUUUUUUAUAUUAUUAUUUUUUUCUUCUUUUUUUUUUUUUGUGUGCAAUGGAAGUCAAUGUUUUUUUCUAUAUUUAAUUUAUAUAUAUGUAUAUUUUUUAUAUAUAUUUUUUUAUUAAUUUUAAAUUUAAUUUAUAUUUUUGUUCAUAAAAGAUGCAUUAAAUUGUAAAGUGUGACUGUAAAGACAUUUAUAAUGUUACAAAAGGUUUCUAUUUCAAGUAAAUGCCAUUCUUUUGAACUUUCUAUUUAACAAAAAAAUCCUGUAAAAAAUUUAUCAAUUUCUGCAAAAAUGUGAAGCAUAAAUUACAUUUUAAAAUAUAUGUAAAAAGAAAAGUUUUUAAAUUAUUCCACAAUAUUACUGUAUUAAUUUUACUGUAUUUUUGUUCAAAUAAAUGAAGCCUUAGUAAGCAAAAAGCAUUAAAAACAUCUUACAAACCCUUGAAUGAUACAGUGCAGAAUACAAAGUUGAAAUUCAGAAUACAAAGAAAAAAAAAAAUACAGUAAACUGGGGAAUCAAAUGUCAUAGUGUGUAAAAGAGCCAGCACUUCUUGUGAUUUCCGUGUGGGGAAAAAAAGUCUUUUGAUUGACAAGAGGUUUAUUAAAUGUUUGUUUUUGGGUGAAAUAACUUUAUAAAUCAGACAUUUAUGGUUCCUCUCUUCAUCUCCUCUUCAGCAAAGAAAGUGCUCAAAAGAAACCCAUCAAAAAGCAAAAGAAAUACCCUCAAACUCAUUUUAUUGGUGUGAUAUGAGUGAAAUGGUAUUUACUUUGUCAUCUUUGAUGAGCUGAUCUCCGUUAUCAGCGUGAUACUGAAGCACUUUAAAUGUAAACCUUCUUUAAACAUCAAUACUUGUUUUAUAUAGUGAUUAGAACACAGACUAUUAAGGAAAAGCUGUCAUACACAAACAUACUGUGGUGGUACCAUGGUACAGCGAUGGUAUCAGACGACUGAAUAUGAU